rnacentral:rRNA from 1 species
UAGAUACCCUGGUAGUCCACGCCGUAAACGAUGAUAACUAGCUGUCGGGGCUCUUAGAGCUUCGGUGGCGCAGCUAACGCAUUAAGUUAUCCGCCUGGGGAGUACGGCCGCAAGGUUAAAACUCAAAUGAAUUGACGGGGGCCUGCACAAGCGGUGGAGCAUGUGGUUUAAUUCGAAGCAACGCGCAGAACCUUACCAGCGUUUGACAUGUCCGGACGAUUUCGGGAGCCGAUACACAGGUGCUGCAUGG